rnacentral:rRNA from 1 species
GUCUACAGCCAUGCCCCUUGAACAAGCCCAAUCCCUUCUGAUCUCGGAAGCUAAGCAGGGUCGGGCCUGGUUAGUACUUGGAUGGGAGACCACCUAGGAAGACCAGCUGCUGUAGGCG